rnacentral:rRNA from 1 species
UGGGGAAUAUUGCACAAUGGGGGAAACCCUGAUGCAGCGACGCCGCGUGAGCGAUGAAGUAUUUCGGUAUGUAAAGCUCUAUCAGCAGGGAAGAAAAUGACGGUACCUGACUAAGAAGCACCGGCUAAAUACGUGCCAGCAGCCGCGGUAAUA